CCUACGGGAGGCAGCAGUGGGGGAUAUUGCACAAUGGGGGAAACCCUGAUGCAGCGACGCCGCGUGGGUGAAGAAGCGCCUCGGCGCGUAAAGCCCUGUCAGCCGGGAAGAAAAUGACGGUACCUGAAGAAGAAGCCCCGGCUAACUACGUGCCAGCAGCCGCGGUAAGACGUAGGGGGCAAGCGUUAUCCGGAUUUACUGGGGGUAAAGGGGGCGCAGAGGGCGAUGCAAGCCAGGAGUGAAAGCCCGGGGCCCAACCCCGGGACUGCGCGUGGAACUGGGUGGCUCGGGGGCAGGGGGGGCAGGGGGAAAUGCUGGGGUAGGGGUGAAAUGCGUAGAUAUCAGGAGGAACACCGGUGGCGAAGGCGGGCUGCUGGACUGCAACCGACGUUGAGGCCCGAAAGCGUGGGGAGCAAACAGGAUUAGAUACCCCAGGAGUC
rnacentral:rRNA from 1 species